rnacentral:rRNA from 1 species
AACGAACGCUGGCGGCAUGCCUAACACAUGCAAGUCGAACGAGACCUUCGGGUCUAGUGGCGCACGGGUGCGUAACGCGUGGGAACCUGCCCUUAGGUUCGGAAUAACUCCCCGAAAGGGGUGCUAAUACCGGAUAAUUUCUUCGGACCAAAGAUUUAUCGCCUUUGGAUGGGCCCGCGUUGGAUUAGCUAGUUGGUAGGGUAAAAGCCUACCAAGGCGACGAUCCAUAGCUGGUCUGAGAGGAUGAUCAGCCACACUGGGACUGAGACACGGCCCAGACUCCUACGGGAGGGAGGAGUGGGGAAUAUUGGAGAAUGGGCGAGAGCCUGAUACAGCAAGGCCGCGUGAGUGAUGAAGGCCUUAGGGUUGUAAAGCUGUUUUAACCGGGAUGAUAAUGACGGUACCGGGAGAAUAAGCUCCGGCUAACUACGUG